CAGCAAGCUAAGAAUAGUUUUUACAUUUUUAAAUGGUUUGGGGAAAAAUGCAAAGAAGAUCAUUAUUUCUGACAUGUGAAAAUUAUGUGAAAUUCAAAUUUCAAGGUCUAUAAAUAAGUUUUAUUGGAACACAGCCAUGUUCACUUGUCUACAGCUGCUUUUGUGGCACGAUCACAAAAUUGAGUGGUGCAACAGAGUCCGUAUGGCCUGCAAAGGCCUCACCUAUUUGUUCUCUGGCUCUUUACAGAAAAAGUUGCUGACCCCUGUUCCAGACCAUACAUUUUCCAGCAAUCCUGUCCUUUAUACUCGACUUAACUGCCUCCCCCACACGCUGACAAGAGAAGAGUUUCUACUCUGAGACUGAAUCCCCGACCCUGGUCUCUGGCGCUUUCACCGUGGAAAAGAACACUCCCCUUGGGAGCCAGCCUGCCAAUCUUGCCUGUGACACCUGGCCUCCCCAGGGACCUUCUCCAUGGAUGUCACCAAUCACAAUCCCUUUACUAUUGAUGAGGAUGAUGUUCCAGUGACACACAUGGUUAUCCAGGCAUCCUUAUCAGAGGGGGAAAUGUGCCGGAAAGCACAGGGCUGAGCUCCACAACAUGGAUUCCCCCUCCUAUGACAUCUCGUAGAGGUACCAGCUCUCUCCUCGCCGCCCCCAAAGGGUAUGGCAGGCUUUAGCCCAUUAGCCUGUGCCCUCCUGUCUCCCAGGGACUGUAGAACUUUGUAGAAGGCCUCUCACUUGUGACCAGGUAUACAAGCCCCAGAGGGGCAUCACUCGCCCUGGCUGCGCCUGGCCCCUGGAUCACCUCGGAGAAGUCCACACCUGAGAUAGUCAACUCUUACCUAGCUUUUGCUGCCACCAGCUUGGUACUAAAGAAACGAAAACUUUCCC
rnacentral:lncRNA from 1 species